UCUCCCUAUUUCUCCCUCCCUACCACAAGCAAGGAAAGCAGUUAUAAAUGGGAGGCUCUGCAGCCUUUCUCUUGGAUCUAAAAUCUGCCAAGAUUGAAGCUCCUGCAGGAAUAACAUUUUUUUUUAAUAGGCCAAAGAGCAAAAGAUUGUUUGAACAUUCAAGUUUUUCAUCCAACUCAUUUUAAAAGAAAACUCUUCACCUUGCAGCCACUGUGGCUGUUCCUGAUGAACAGACACAGUCUAGAACUGCCAUAUAUUCAGUAUUCAGGGAUUUUCACCAUUCAAAUUAUGCAAGGAAAAUAAUAAGUGAAAGGGUGGGAGGGAGCAGGGGCUGGGAGGGGGAGUGAUGAAUGUCAGUUUAGAGGUAGCUACUUUGUGUCUGUACAUUUCUGGAAUCAAAUCUUAUUUCUUUUCUCACAGCACGAUCUGAGAAUAGUCUCCUUGUGAUUUGAGAGGUGUAGGAGAGCAAGGAAGCACCCUCCCUCCUCCUCACUGCACUCCUGUCCCAGUCUGAAGCCAGUACUGGGCUCUGUGCGGCUGAACUGUUGUGCAGUGAACUGAUCCCAGCACAGAGGCUCAAGGAUAGAUCAAAAACCUCCUGAAGAAAAAACUUGAAGCAAAGAAUGGACAUUCUGGAAAUGUGGAAUAUAAUGGAGAAGUAAAGGCCCAGCCAGCAC